rnacentral:lncRNA from 1 species
GGUGAAGGGGAAGAUUGUGGCGUGCCUCCGGGGGAUCAACGGGAGGGUGGAGAAGGGACAGACGGUGCUCCUCGCCGGUGGCGCCGGCAUGAUCCUCGCGAACUCGGAAGCCCAGGGUAACGAAGUCGUCGCAGACGCCCACCUCCUCCCUGCCGUCCACCUCAGUUAUCAGAAGAGCAUCGCUCUCUACAAGUAUUUAAACUCCACAAGGUGAGCAGCUUGAGAACCUUAUUCGGAGUUCUUUCUGAUCUCAUCACCCGAUGCCCUCUGAAGAGGCUGGUUUGGCUGCAGCAACCCC